rnacentral:rRNA from 1 species
GNCUAACUACGUGCCAGCAGCCGCGGUAAUACGUAGGGCGCGAGCGUUNUCCGGAAUUAUUGGGCGUAAAGAGNUCGUAGGCGGCUGGUCGCGUCUGUCGUGAANUCCUCUGGCUUAACUGGGGGCUUGCGGUGGGUACGGGCCGGCUUGAGUGCGGUAGGGGAGACUGGAACUCCUGGUGUAGCGGUGGAAUGCGCAGAUAUCAGGAAGAACACCGGUGGCGAAGGCGGGUCUCUGGGCCGUUACUGACGCUGAGGAGCGAAAGCGUGGGGAGCGAACAGGAUUAGAUACCCUGGUAGUCCACGCCGUAAACGUUGGGCACUAGGUGUGGGGGGCCUUUUCCGGGUCUUCCGCGCCGUAGCUAACGCAUUAAGUGCCCCGCCUGGGGAGUACGGCCGCAAGGCUAAAACUCAAAGGAAUUGACGGGGGCCCGCACAAGCGGCGGAGCAUGCGGAUUAAUUCGAUGCAACGCGAAGAACCUUACCAAGGCUUGACAUGUGCCGGUCGGCUCCGGAGACGGGGCUUCCUCCUUGUGGGGCCGGUUCACAGGUGGUGCAUGGUUGUCGUCAGCUCGUGUCGUGAGAUGUUGGGUUAAGUCCCGCAACGAGCGCAACCCUUGUCCCGUGUUGCCAGCACGUUGUGGUGGGGACUCGCGGGAGACUGCCGGGGUCAACUCGGAGGAAGGUGGGGAUGACGUCAAAUCAUCAUGCCCCUUAUGUCUUGGGCUUCACGCAUGCUACAAUGGCCGGUACAGAGGGCUGCGAUACCGUGAGGUGGAGCGAAUCCCUUAAAGCCGGUCUCAGUUCGGAUCGGUGUCUGCAACUCGACACCGUGAAGUUGGAGUCGCUAGUAAUCGCAGAUCAGCAACGCUGCGGUGAAUACGUUCUCGGGCCUCGUACACACCGCCCGUCACGUCAUGAAAGUCGGCAACAC